UGGGGAAUAUUGGACAAUGGGCGAAAGCCUGAUCCAGCCAUGCCGCGUGUGUGAAGAAGGUCUUCGGAUUGUAAAGCACUUUAAGUUGGGAGGAAGGGCAGUAAGCGAAUACCUUGCUGUUUUGACGUUACCGACAGAAUAAGCACCGGCUAACUCUGUGCCAGCAGCCGCGGUAAUACAGAGGGUGCAAGCGUUAAUCGGAAUUACUGGGCGUAAAGCGCGCGUAGGUGGUUCGUUAAGUUGAAUGUGAAAGCCCCGGGCUCAACCUGGGAACUGCAUCCAAAACUGGCGAACUAGAGUAGCGCAGAGGGUGGUGGAAUUACCAAUGUUGCGGUGAAAUGCGUAGAUAUAGGAGGGAACACCAGUGGCGAAGGCGGCCGCCUGGGCUCAUACUAACACUAAGGUGCGAAAGCGUGGGGAGCAAACAGG
rnacentral:rRNA from 1 species